rnacentral:lncRNA from 1 species
GAAGAGAAAAUGUUUGUUCCAAACUGAACCUUCUUCUUCUGGAUAUGUACUUUUGGAGGUAGAUCAAACAUGAAUUUAGUUCAGUCACCUUCUUCUUUCUUUUGAUACCCACUUCCACCUUGUUCUAUCAAGAUAUCCAGCUUGGCAGGACCUAUCAUGGCAAGAAAUAGUAGUGAAGGUGAAUCAUACACUCUCUUCAGGGCAGCUUUGGUGUUGAAUUUGGCCACUGAUGGCUUCAGAAGGCUCCAAUUGCAGUCCUUCAGGGAAAAUUUU